rnacentral:rRNA from 1 species
GCCAAAGCUUAAAACUCAAAGGACUUGGCGGUGCUUUAUAUCCUCCUAGAGGAGCCUGUUCUAUAAUCGAUAAACCCCGAUAAACCUCACCAACCCUUGCCAACUCAGCCUAUAUACCGCCAUCUUCAGCAAACCCUAAAAAGGAGACACAGUAAGCUCAACUACAAAAAUGYAAAAACGUUAGGUCAAGGUGUAGCUUAUGGGUUGGAAAGAAAUGGGCUACAUUUCCUACUUAUAGG